GACGAACGCUGGCGGCGUGCCUAAUACAUGCAAGUCGAGCGAGUCUGCCUUGAAGAUCGGAGUGCUUGCACUCUGUGAAACAAGAUACAGGCUAGCGGCGGACGGGUGAGUAACACGUGGGUAACCUGCCCAAGAGAUCGGGAUAACACCUGGAAACAGAUGCUAAUACCGGAUAACAACAGAUGAUGCCUAUCACCUGUUUAAAAGAUGGUUCUGCUAUCACUCUUGGAUGGACCUGCGGUGCAUUAGCUAGUUGGUAGGGUAACGGCCUACCAAGGCGAGGAUGCAUGGCCGAGUUGAGAGACGGAUCGGCCACAUUGGGACUGAGACACGGCCCAAACUCCUACGGGAGGCAGCGGUAGGGAAUCUUCCACAAUGGACGCAGGUCUGAUGGAGAAACGCCGCGUGAGUGAGGAAGGGUUUCGGCUCGUAAAGCUCUGUUGUUGAGGAAGAAGGACAGGGGUAGUAACUGACCUUUGUUUGACGGUAAUCAAUUAGAAAGUCACGGCUAACUACGUG
rnacentral:rRNA from 1 species